GGGGCGUAGCUCAGAUGGUAGAGCGCUCGCUUAGCAUGUGAGAGGUACGGGGAUUGAUACCCCGCGCCAAUU
rnacentral:tRNA from 1 species